UUGGAGGGCAAGUCUGGUGCCAGCAGCCGCGGUAAUUCCAGCUCCAAUAGCGUAUAUUAAAGUUGUUGUGGUUAAAAAGCUCGUAGUUGAACCUUGGGCCUGGCUGGCCGGUCCGCCUCACCGCGUGUACUGGUCCGGCCGGGCCUUUCCCUCUGUGGAACCCCAUGCCCUUCACUGGGUGUGGCGGGGAAACAGGACUUUUACUGUGAAAAAAUUAGAGUGCUCCAGGCAGGCCUAUGCUCGAAUACAUUAGCAUGGAAUAAUAGAAUAGGACGUGUGGUUCUAUUUUGUUGGUUUCUAGGACCGCCGUAAUGAUUAAUAGGGACAGUCGGGGGCAUCAGUAUUCAAUUGUCAGAGGUGAAAUUCUUGGAUUUAUUGAAGACUAACUACUGCGAAAGCAUUUGCCAAGGAUGUUUUCAUUAAUCAGGAACGAAAGUUAGGGGAUCGAAGACGAUCAGAUACCGUCGUAGUCUUAACCAUAAACUAUGCCGACUAGGGAUCGGACGGUGUUAUUUUUUGACCCGUUCGGCGCCUUACGGGAAAC
rnacentral:rRNA from 1 species